rnacentral:rRNA from 1 species
UACGUAGGGGGCUAGCGUUGUCCGGAUUUAUUGGGCGUAAAGAGCGUGUAGGCGGCCAGGUAGGUCUGCUGUGAAAACUCGAGGCUCAACCUCGAGACGUCGGCGGAAACCAUCUGGCUAGAGUCCGGAAGAGGAGAGUGGAAUUCCUGGUGUAGCGGUGAAAUGCGCAGAUAUCAGGAAGAACACCCGUGGCGAAGGCGGCUCACUGGCCCGGUUCUGACGCUGAGGCGCGAAAGCGUGGGGAGCAAACAGG